CCCUUAGAUGUUCUGGGCCGCACGCGCGCUACACUGACGAUGGCAACGAGUUUUUCCUUCGCCGAAAGGUGUGGGUAAUCUUUUGAAACAUCGUCGUGCUGGGGAUAGAUCAUUGCAAUUUUUGAUCUUGAACGAGGAAUUCCUAGUAAGCGCGAGUCAUCAGCUCGCGUUGAGUACGUCCCUGCCCUUUGUACACACCGCCCGUCGCUACUACCGAUUGAAUGGUUUAGUGAGGACUCCUGAUUGGCGCCGCCGCCCCGGCAACGGAGCAGCGGACUGCCGAAAAGUUGUUCAAACUUGAUCAUUUAGAGGAAGUAAAAGUCGUAACA
rnacentral:rRNA from 1 species